CGGAAAGAAGUCACUUGGGGAGAUGUCCUCUCAUCCCUCAAACUUCUGCAAGUGGCAGCUAAAGCUCUCUUGACAGGAUCUGUCUGGCUGGCCAAGAAGAGCUCUGCGGAAUCAGGAACUUCAUCCUGGGAUAAAGGAGCAGGUCCACCUGAAUGCAUGAUUUGGACCCCAAUGCCCAUAGGAACGCUGGAAAGAGUAACAGGGGACCCCACAUGCAAGCAUUUCCCCCUAGAAGACCUCCUUGCAUUGAAUAAAUAAUUUGAUUUGAAAAACUCUCAAAA